CGAACUUUAAAUAGAGAGUGAAAGAAUGAAUCAAAACCUAAAAGUGAAUCUAACAAAAUGUUUUUACUAUUUUCAGAGAACUAAAUAUUCAAAAGUAACACCACCAGCUACGACUUCUACACCACCAGCUACGACUUCUACUCAGAAGCCAGCAUCAAACAUAACUG
rnacentral:sRNA from 1 species